GAUGAAGAACGUAGCGAAAUGCGAUAAGUAAUGCGAAUUGCAGAAUUCAGUGAGUCAUCGAAUCUUUGAACGCACAUUGCGCCCUGUGGUAUUCCGCAGGGCAUGCCUGUUCGAGCGUCAUUUCAACCCUCAAGCCCCGCUUGGUGUUGGGCCCCGCCCGCCGUGGCCGGCCCUAAAGACAGUGGCGGCGCCGCCUGGCCCUCAGCGUAGUACAGCUCUCGCUCCAGGGUCCGGCGGCCGCCUGCCAGAACCCCCCCCACUCUGUGGUUGACCUCGGAUCAGGUAGGGAUACCCGCUGAACUUAAGCAUAUCAAUAAGCGGAGGA
rnacentral:misc_RNA from 1 species